UACAGAGGUGGCAAGCGUUGUUCGGAAUUACUGGGCGUAAAGGGCGCGUAGGCGGCCUUCUAAGUCAGACGUGAAAUCCCCCGGCUUAACCUGGGAACUGCGUCUGAUACUGGAUGGCUUGAGUUCGGGAGAGGGAUGCGGAAUUCCAGGUGUAGCGGUGAAAUGCGUAGAUAUCUGGAGGAACACCGGUGGCGAAGGCGGCAUCCUGGACCGACACUGACACUGAGGAGCGAAAGCGUGGGGAGCGAACAGG
rnacentral:rRNA from 1 species